rnacentral:rRNA from 1 species
UACAGAGGUGGCAAGCGUUGUUCGGAAUUACUGGGCGUAAAGGGCGUGUAGGCGGCUUCUUAAGUCAGACGUGAAAUCCCCCGGCUUAACCUGGGAACUGCGUCUGAUACUGGGAAGCUAGAGUUCGGGAGAGGGAUGUAGAAUUCCAGGUGUAGCGGUGAAAUGCGUAGAUAUCUGGAGGAAUACCGGUGGCGAAGGCGGCAUCCUGGACCGAAACUGACACUGAGGUGCGAAAGCUAGGGUAGCAAACGGG